GGAUUCUCUAUUUCCUUUGCCCUUCUCCAGCCCAGGCCCUACCCUGACUCCAGGUGUAUGACUUUACAUUUGACUGCAAGGAGUUCGAGUGACAGAGCAUCCACCAUAUCCUUAGCUUGUAUGAUUUGAUGAGCUAUCCUGAGUGAAGCAAAUGAAAAUAGGAAAUACAGAAGAAUAAGUGUCAACAGCCAGGAGUGAGCCAGAAGAGGAAUGUACUAAUGAUGCUGCUAAUUCUCAUGGGAGCUUUGGCUUCUGCUACUAUUGUGCCACUAGUAUUUAAUAACUAUAACAAGGAAACUUUGGUGUUUGACAUUUAUGAAAAAUAAUGGUCUCUAGAUUCAGGUCCAAGUGUCUGACAUAAAAAUAAACAUUUCCUCAAUGUAGUUAAUAGGAAUAAGUACAGGCAUGGGUUCUGUAAUGAUGUCAGUACGGGGUGGUAGCAGUGGAGACUAUUAAUUAACAGAUCAGCCUGGUUAGUCGAGCAGCCUUUCAGUGAGAGUAAAUAAAACCGGGGCUGUGUUUAGCAUCUACAUAAAACAACACAGGAAACACAAAAGAAAGAGAUGGGCAUGAAUCUGAACAGACCUCAAUUUGGGGCUGAUGUGUAUAGCUCAGGCUCAUCUCUAAAAAACCAUGUCUACUAGCUUUUAAACUCAAUUGCUUUCAUUCAGAUUGUUGUUUUGCAGGUGAACUUAUUCUUAUGCUUUUGCCUUAAUUAAACAAUAUCAAAAUUGU